GCGGCAACGUGCCCUGUUAUAUAGGUUUGAGACACAGCUGUCGCGCAGGUGAUUCAGGAGUGAAUAACAGGGUCCUUCCCCUUCAUGGCCGCUGGUUCUUCUUCGAGUCCUUCUGAUGAUUUUCUGCCCCGCCUUACUGUUCCGUCGGUCCAAUAUGACGUGGCUACCCCCAUCUCUAGCACUCGUUCUCUCUACAGUCCUCCGGCUUCUGCGAAGGCGUUCUCGCUUACCUCCACGGAAGAUCGCUUCAAUGCAUUUGUGUCGUCCGUUUAAACACUGCGACGGGAAGUUAACGUCCGUGCAUGACUUCACAAUUUGAUAUAUUUCCAUGGAAACGCGUUCAUUUAGAAUCACGAAGAGGAGUUCGCAACCCUUGGUCUUUGCAAGAGCAACAAAGGCGGCAAACUGGUCCAGCAUAGCGCGCCGAUCGCUUCUCGUGUAAGCGCCCAGUCCCGGUUUGGUCGUCAAAUUAACACCGUACGUUGCGCCCUGAGCUUUCAGGACUCUUGCCAACUUCUCAAUAACAUUUUGAUUGGUCUCAACGAACGAAUACAAUGCCCAGACUCGGCACACUGUGCCACGGCAGAAGGCUGCGUCCCGCAAAUUCCAGUCGCCCUGAGCUGGGCGGAUUGUUUUCGUCGACCUGCCUGGGAUUCCGCCUGGGACUUCGCGGUACUUGAUGAGAGGAGAUUCAAGGACUUUCCCUUCUGCUGUCUUUGCUUCACGCUGCAGCACUACGCCAAAAGCAUCGAGAACCUUCGUAGCUGAGCCUCCCUGCGGCCCAAAGACAAGGCUUAACAGCUGCUCACUCUUUGCCACGCGAUUUCGAGGAGGCAUGAUCAUGUGUUCUGCGAUCUGAGCACAUGGCAGGAACAUACGAAAAGCGAAUAUCAGCACACUGGAAAUGCCACCACGGACGAGAAGAACAGGCGUCGACGGACCCCUCACCCUGGCGGGACAGGACCGCAAUGACAAAGACGAGAAGAAACACGAGUAAUGGUUCAAGCACCGGGAUAUAUGACAGGUCUUGAAAAGCCCGUUCUUUCUCCGUCACCGUUCCCUUGAAGACGACUCUUUCCACGUCACGAAGAAACAAUACCUGCGCACGAUCCUCAUCAGUGAUGCCCUCCCGGACUGGCUGAUGUUUGAGCGUGACGAUGGAGAUCGGCAAAUACGCGGGGCGAUUUUUGCUGCGCGUGUUGAUUAGUAGCUGGAACGGCGGAAUACCAGAUACAUGAGGAUAUGAUUCCUGAAAAGGAAAGUGGACAAAACCGAACCGGACAUUCGGCGGGACAGUGCAUAGGGGUUGACGGAAAGGUACCGUCGAAAUGGAACCCGGCGGGGCGGUGGCAAUUAGAGGGCACUCUGUGAAUGUUAAUAGAAAGUUAUCCACGAUGCAAACAGAGGAAGAAACCGUCUACAGCUUCAGCAGAAAGCAACGGCAUCGAGUACGUGAAAAGCGUGGUUCUCGAGACGUUAGCAUGCCCGCGUUUGCAUUUGUCUACACAGCAAAGACUUCUGCCUCUCAAGAGGAAGGCGACCGUUGAAUGUGGCAAACGUUGUUCAUGUUGCUCGUCAGCUUCAAAACGUUUUUCAAUGACUGAAGACACUCCAUCACCACUCCCAACGAAAGACCGAUCCUGAAGUUAUACGCUCCAGAUGGUGGAAGACGCACCUGAAAAUGCUGCAGCACCGUAACUGUUCUGCCAUCCUGCAAAUCAAAACGGCUCUCCUCACUGCUCGCAGAGAAGGUCAUCAAUUCCUUCAGCUUGUAAACCCUCUUCUCUGGCCGUUUUGUGUCUCGAUUGAGAAUAUGGAAAGACUCCACUUUCGUCCCUCUCAGACGUUUAUUGAGCCUUCUCAUCACUUCCGCAUCGGCCAUCAGGGCUCGGCAGCCUUUGUCAGUGGACAAGUCCACCAUCCUUUUCGCAAUCUGCAACGAAAAACGAAGGAAAGAAAGGACCACCGAAAACGUUGUGUAGCACAACAAUGAGUCCCUGUUUCUCGGGUAGGAAGUUGUGCAUAGGUAGAAAAAGUGGGUGAGACAAUGAGCAAAUCGACGUUCCUCCUGUUGACGCACAAGAGCGCUGUUCCCCAGCGCUUACAGCGGAUGCCUGGAUCUCAAUAUACUUGACGAGGGGAAUGGCCUUCGUUGCAGUACACGCACGAAGAUUGAAUACCGCGUUCCAGCUCAGCGCUCCUGACGUUUGAUACGGCGCCACAGCUUGGGAGAAACCGUCCCAUAUCUGGAAGGCUUUAUUUUGUCCGCGUAGAGGAAAAAAGUUCUCAGGCAGGUCCUUGAAGAAAUUGACCCCGUUGAACAUUUGGUACCCCUCUUGAACUGCAGCAUGAUUCAUGAUCAACUGCAAAAUCUGCAGAGGUACAGUGCAAAACGAAAUAUCUGGUCUCUCGAGAGAAGCUACCCGUGAACUAUAUGAGGGGGGUAUGCAUUGUAGCAAGGUACAAGACCAUGUAAUCCAUAACUCAGGUGACAUAGGGUAUUGCCUUUUGUGCCUCCGUUUUGCCUUUGCUUCUCCACAGUGGCAAAUCCUGGCACACAAAAUCCU
rnacentral:lncRNA from 1 species